rnacentral:rRNA from 1 species
UACAGAGGGUGCAAGCGUUAAUCGGAAUUACUGGGCGUAAAGCGUGCGUAGACGGUUAUGUAAGUCAGAUGUGAAAGCCCCCGGGCUUAACCUGGGAAUGGCAUUUGAGACUGCAUAGCUAGGGUGCGGAAGAGGGAAGCGGAAUUUCCGGUGUAGCGGUGAAAUGCGUAGAUAUCGGAAGGAACACCAGUGGCGAAAGCGGCUUCCUGGUCCAGCACCGACGUCAGC